rnacentral:rRNA from 1 species
AUUGAACGCUGGCGGCAGGCCUAACACAUGCAAGUCGAGCGGAUGAAGGGAGCUUGCUCCUGGAUUCAGCGGCGGACGGGUGAGUAAUGCCUAGGAAUCUGCCUGGUAGUGGGGGAUAACGUCCGGAAACGGGCGCUAAUACCGCAUACGUCCUGAGGGAGAAAGUGGGGGAUCUUCGGACCUCACGCUAUCAGAUGAGCCUAGGUCGGAUUAGCUAGUUGGUGGGGUAAAGGCCUACCAAGGCGACGAUCCGUAACUGGUCUGAGAGGAUGAUCAGUCACACGGAACUUGAGAAAGGGCCCGGAUUCUUAGGGAAGCCAGCGGUGGGGAAAUUGGGAAAUGGGGGGAAAGCCUGAUCAAGCAAGGCCGCGGGGGUGAAGAAGGUCUUCGGUUUGUAAAGCACUUUAGGUUGGAAGAAGGGCAGUAAGUUAAUACCUUGCUGUUUUGACGUUACCAACAGAAUAAGCACCGGCUAACUUCGUG